rnacentral:rRNA from 1 species
AUGGGAACGCGAAGAACCUUACCUACUCUUGACAUCCAGAGAACUUAGCAGAGAUGCUUUGGUGCCUUCGGGAACUCUGAGACAGGUGCUGCAUGGCUGUCGUCAGCUCGUGUUGUGAAAUGUUGGGUUAAGUCCCGCAACGAGCGCAACCCUUAUCCUUUGUUGCCAGCGGUUAGGCCGGGAACUCAAAGGAGACUGCCAGUGAUAAACUGGAGGAAGGUGGGGAUGACGCCAAGUCAUCAUGGCCCUUACGAGUAGGGCUACACACGUGCUACAAUGGCGCAUACAAAGAGAAGCGACCUCGCGAGAGCAAGCGGACCUCAAUAAAGUGCGUCGUAGUCCGGAUUGGAGUCUGCAACUCGACUCCAUGAAGUCGGAAUCGCUAGUAAUCGUAGAUCAGAAUGCUACGGUGAAUACGUUCCCGGGUCUUGUACACACCG